UACGUAGGGUGCAAGCGUUGCCCGGAUUUAUUGGGCGUAAAGGGCGCGUAGGCGGCUCGGCACGUCCGUUGUGAAAUCGCCCGGCUCAACUGGGCGGGGUCAGCGGAUACGGCCGAGCUUGAGCAAGCUAGGGGGCAAUGGAAUUCCCGGUGUAGUGGUGGAAUGCGUAGAUAUCGGGAGGAACACCGGUGGCGAAGGCGGGUCUCUGGGCCGUAACUGACGCUGAGGAGCGAAAGCGUGGGGAGCGAACAGG
rnacentral:rRNA from 1 species